AGGCUCUAUUUAGAGCCGGGUAGGGGAGCGCAGCGGCCAGAUACCUCAGCGCUACCUGGCGGAACUGGAUUUCUCUCCCGCCUGCCGGCCUGCCUGCCACAGCCGGACUCCGCCACUCCGGUAGCCUCAUGGCUGCAACCUGUGAGAUUAGCAACAUUUUUAGCAACUACUUCAGUGCGAUGUACAGCUCGGAGGACUCCACCCUGGCCUCUGUUCCCCCUGCUGCCACCUUUGGGGCCGAUGACUUGGUACUGACCCUGAGCAACCCCCAGAUGUCAUUGGAGGAGAAGGCCAGCUGGUUGGGGGAACAGCCCCAGUUCUGGUCGAAGACGCAGGUUCUGGACUGGAUCAGCUACCAAGUGGAGAAGAACAAGUACGACGCAAGCGCCAUUGACUUCUCACGAUGUGACAUGGAUGGCGCCACCCUCUGCAAUUGUGCCCUUGAGGAGCUGCGUCUGGUCUUUGGGCCUCUGGGGGACCAACUCCAUGCCCAGCUGCGAGACCUCACUUCCAGCUCUUCUGAUGAGCUCAGUUGGAUCAUUGAGCUGCUGGAGAAGGAUGGCAUGGCCUUCCAGGAGGCCCUAGACCCAGGCCCCUUUGCCCAGGAGCUGCUGGACGACGGUCAGCAAGCCAGCCCCUACCACCCCGGCAGCUGUGGCGCAGGAGCCCCCUCCCCUGGCAGCUCUGACGUCUCCACCGCAGGGACUGGUGCUUCUCGGAGCUCCCACUCCUCAGACUCCGGUGGAAGUGACGUGGACCUGGAUCCCACUGAUGGCAAGCUCUUCCCCAGCGAUGGUUUUCGUGACUGCAAGAAGGGGGAUCCCAAGCACGGGAAGCGGAAACGAGGCCGGCCCCGAAAGCUGAGCAAAGAGUACUGGGACUGUCUCGAGGGCAAGAAGAGCAAGCACGAGCCU
rnacentral:lncRNA from 1 species